AUUUCCUUUAUGAGUUAUCAUAUUGGGCUAUUGAUUACAAUUAUUGUUGAAACUUGGGUGUUAGUAGGGCUUGACGUCGCACGAAGGUUUUCCAACCAAGGAAAAACAAACCUAACCAAACCUGACCUAACCCUACCUACAACCUACAACCUACAAACCUACAGUGUCUAAUCUUGGUUGGAAAUCCUUUGUGUGACAUCUGCUCAACUAAUGUCGAAACUUGAUUCGCUUCCAACCGAUGAGAGGUGCUGUAGGUUUUUAGAUUGUGGGGUAGGUUUGUAUGUUUUUAUGUUGUUGGUGGUAGGUUUUUAGGUUGUACGUAAUAGGUUUACUCAGGUUGGGUUCCCAUUGUCAUUUAAGGAAGGCAGAGAGGAAGUGAGUGGGAGGAACAGGAACCCUGAAAUCUGAAUCCUAGAUGCACCAGCCGAAGUUCUUGGCUGGUGAAGUUGUGAAGGCCCAACACAUGCUGCUGGCAGCAGUAUGGAUGCUGCUUCAACUCGACAUAGACUUGGGGAGCAAGACUGGACGCCGACCAGCAUAACAUACAAUAUGCUAUCCACAUUUAUUUUUCAGCAUGCCAUCGCUAUUAAAACGAUUGAUGUGAUUUGAUCUUAUGCAAGCCUCUUUCACGACUUGACCUCUUCUUUGGUUUCAGUCUUCUUUGCUGGCUGUGCACUUUCUCUGGAAUGUCUUGUUACCUUCUUCGUCCACAUAUGCCAUCCUCAUUUCUUUUUCAGCAUGCCAUCGCUAUUAAAACAAUUGAUGUGAUUUGAUCUUAUGCAAGCCUCUUUCACGACUUGACCUCUUCUUCGAUUUCAGUCUUCUUUGCUGGCUGUUCACUUUUGCUGGAAUGUCUUGUUACCUUCUUCGUACUUGCACAUACAAUUUAUAUCAAUGGCAGUGUGCAUGGAUCUUCUUUCUCAGUAAUGUAUGCUGUCUUACCCCAGAAAUACCAGUGUUUGAACAGUGAGAAGAGUGUGGUGCACAAUGUCAAGCUCAUAGCAUGAAUACCUUUCGGGGUUUGCCUUAUGCUUUAUUGUCACCAUCCGGAUUGAGAAUGUCAUGCACACUUCUGCAGCUUUUCUGUUGAUGGACAGCACUUCCCAGUUCAGCUUCAAAUCACUAUUGAGGGCCAGCAAUAUGUGCUAUGUUUCUUCUGCACGUUCCUAUGCUCCUGGGUCCUGACGUACUCUUCAUACUCAUAUUUCCAGUUUUCUGGGUGUUGCUUGUCAUUUGUGCAUUCUGUUUUUUGUGAUUGCCGUCUGCUUAUCCAGUUGUACAGUAAAUAUUGCCAUCUACCUACUUCAGGUUUGAUUGCUCAAAGCUAAAGUCCAUCCAUCUCAUGAGCUUUACGUAUAACGUACUCUUGCCGGUUCGUCAGAGAAUGCGUUAUGCAAUGAAUUUUCAAAUUUGCUGGACUUGUCAGAAAUUAUAAACGCAAUUGUCUGCAAAUUUUUCUGUUGGAUUUGAUAUUUGGGUUUGUCUUUCCUGAUGUUCUGACAGGCGUUAUUCGGAAAGCUGAGAGGCGCUGCAGCGGGAGGGAUCCGUGCGCAGAAGUGGGCCGAGGCGUUGCAGCUGGCAGCGUCGCUGGGCCUGGUACCGCUUGCAUGCGAUCAGCGGCACCUGCGCAAGACCUUAAUAAAAAAUCAGCUGGCUUCUAGUCGAGGUCGCCGUGACCGCCAGAGAAAAACUGGCAAUGGCGUUCAAGAACCGCUCGACGAGUUGGACGAGCUCGUCCUUAGCAUGGACGAUGGCUCAUACGAUUAUAUCGUCCCGGGAGCCCAAAACUCCCUAGACGCCAGCCAGAGUUCGGCGGAGGAGUUGUGGGCGGCCGCGGCUGUGGUCCCGUCUGUCGCCACCAGCUCUACCCCGGCUGCCGCCAUCGCUUCCACGCCUGUCGCGACCUCUGCCCCGCCUACCGCCGGCGCCUCCCGGCCUGCUACCGGCGCUUCCGCGCCUACCGCCGGCGCCUCCCGGCCUGCCGCCGGCGCU